rnacentral:rRNA from 1 species
GACGAACGCUGGCGGCGUGCUUAACACAUGCAAGUCGAACGGAAAGGCCUGCUUUCCCUUGUGGAUUGCGGGUGCUCGAGUGGCGAACGGGUGAGUAACACGUGAGUGAUCUGCCCCCAACUUGGGUAUAAGCCUGGGAAACUGGGUCUAAUUCCCGAUAGGACUGCAGGGUGGUGCCUGUGGUGGAAAACGAUUUUCUAGUGGUUGGGGAUGAGCUCGCGGCCUAUCAGCUUGUUGGUGGGGUAAUGGCCUACCAAGGCGGCGACGGGUAGCCGGCCUGAGAGGGUGGACGGCCACAUUGGGACUGAGAUACGGCCCAGACUCCUACGGGAGGCAGCAGUGGGGAAUAUUGCACAAUGGGCGGAAGCCUGAUGCAGCGACGCCGCGUGGGGGAUGACGGCCUUCGGGUUGUAAACUCCUUUCGACCGCGAGGAAGCCACCUGGUUGGAAGGGUGGUGACGGUAGUGGUAGAAGAAGCACCGGCCAACUACGUG